GACGAACGCUGGCGGCGUGCCUAAUACAUGCAAGUAGAACGCACAGUUUAUACCGUAGCUUGCUACACCAUAGACUGUGAGUUGCGAACGGGUGAGUAGCGCGUAGGUAACCUGCCUGGUAGCGGGGGAUAACUAUUGGAAACGAUAGCUAAUACCGCAUAAUAUUAAUUAUUGCAUGAUAAUUAAUUGAAAGGUGCAAUUGCACCACUACCAGAUGGACCUGCGUUGUAUUAGCUAGUAGGUGAGGUAACGGCUCACCUAGGCGACGAUACAUAGCCGACCUGAGAGGGUGAUCGGCCACACUGGGACUGAGACACGGCCCAGACUCCUACGGGAGGCAGCAGUAGGGAAUCUUCGGCAAUGGACGAAAGUCUGACCGAGCAACGCCGCGUGAGUGAAGAAGGUUUUCGGAUCGUAAAGCUCUGUUGUAAGAGAAGAACGGGUGUGAGAGUGGAAAGUUCACACUGUGACGGUAUCUUACCAGAAAGGGACGGCUAACUACGUG
rnacentral:rRNA from 1 species